CAACAACAUAAACUGCGAACAGGUGAAG
rnacentral:piRNA from 1 species